UACGGGGGGGGCAAGCGUUGUUCGGAAUUACUGGGCGUAAAGGGCUCGUAGGCGGCCAACUAAGUCAGACGUGAAAUCCCUCGGCUUAACCGGGGAACUGCGUCUGAUACUGGUUGGCUUGAAUCCGGGAGUGGGAUGUGGAAUUCCAGGUGUAGCGGUGAAAUGCGUAGAUAUCUGGAGGAACACCGGUGGCGAAGGCGGCAUCCUGGACCGGUAUUGACGCUGAAGCGCGAAAGCUAGGGGAGCAAACGGG
rnacentral:rRNA from 1 species